rnacentral:rRNA from 1 species
CGGUCCAGACUCCUACGGGAGGCAGCAGUAGGGAAUCUUCCGCAAUGGACGAAAGUCUGACGGAGCAACGCCGCGUGAGUGAUGAAGUUUUCGGAUCGUAAAGCUCUGUGUUAGGGAAGAACAAGUGCAAGAGUACUGCUUGCACCUUGACGGUACCUAACCAGAAAGCCACGGCUAACUACGUGCCAGCAGCCGCGGUAA